rnacentral:lncRNA from 1 species
UCCUGAAGUUUUUUUUUGGGGCAUCCUGGGGGGGUUCUUUGAGGAUUUUUGGGGGAUCCCUGAGAAUUUUGGGGAGGUUUUGGGGGCUCCUUGAGGAUUUUGGGGGGGAUUUUGAGGGGUUUUUGGCAAUCCCGAGCCUUUGGGGGGUCCUGAAGUUUUUUUUUGGGGCAUCCUGGGGGGGUUCUUUGAGGAUUUUUGGGGGAUCCCUGAGACUUUGAGUGGGGGUCCCUGAGAUUUUUGGGGUCUGAGAAGGAUCUCGGGAUUUUUGGGGUGAUCCACAACCUUUUGGUGUUGGUUCCCAAAUAUUUCUGGGGGUCCUGGAGUUUUUUUUGAGGACCUCUUGAGAUUUUGGGGAGGUCUGGGAAGAAUUCUGGAGUUUUUGGGGGGGAUCCUUGAGAUUUUAGGGGUCCCCAGGGAUUGGAGGAUUCCCAAAAAUUGGGAAUUCCCAGGAAUUGAAUUUGCCAAAAAUUUGGAAUCCCAAAAAAUUUGGGAUCCCCAGGGAUGGACUGAAUUUUUCCAGGAUUGGGGGAUCACAGAGGUUCCCAAAAAUCGGGAAUUUCCAGGAAUUGCGGGGGAGAUCCCCAAAAAUUGGGAAUUCCCAAGGAUCUGGGGUUUUCCAGGACUCCAUGGGGGUUUCUCAGGGAUUGGGAAACUCCCCAAAAAUUUGGUAUUUUUCAGGGAUUGAGGGGAUUUUUUUGGGAUUUCUUAGGAAUCAGAGGGGUCCCAAAAAAUUCGGGUUCUUUGGGAAUUGGGGGAGAUUCCCAAAAAUCAGUGAGGAUUUCUCUGGGGUCAGGGAAUCCAGGGGGGGUUCCCAAAAAUCUGGGAUGGUUCUCCAGGGAUUUGGGGGGUCCCCAAAAUUGGGGGUCCCCGGGUUCUGACCCCACACUCCCCCCCAGCUCCAGCCCUGCUGUCCCUGGCACCUGGCACAGGGAUCCCCGUGGGAAGCGGCGAUGUCAGACAAAGGCGGCAGCAUGGACGGCAGGACAGACAUCGUCAACGGUGAGGGGACAGCUGGGGACACCCAGAGGGACAGGAGGGGGGA